AAGUUUGCCAAGUGUACGUAAAAAUAAAAGAAAAAUGUUGGUGGGUCUAUAAGAGAGAGAAGUAUUCUACUUGACUAGUCUCUACGACGGCUGCGUUAUUGGGUGAUGGAGGGAGGGCAGGCGUGGUACAUUCGACGACCUUGACCCCUGUUCUCAACUGGCGCUCGUUCUUCGUAGACCGGUCGAUAUGUACCGCUCUCCAUCCCUCCGCGAUAUAACAUCCCCUCUCUCUCUCUCUCUCUCUCUCUCUCUCUUUGGGAGAGAUGGUUUUCUCUCGACGCCGACGCCAACGACGCCGACGCCGACGUCGACGCCGACGCGGACGCCAUCGUCGCGUCCCUACUGCCAUCCUCCUCUUCCUCAUCCUCCUCCUCCUACUUCUUAUUAUUGUAGUCGUGCCUUCUAGUCGUAGUUUGGUGCAAUGUAUUCGUGAACGCGUUGUAUCGAUUUCGCGGAUGCCGCCACAGUCGACGCAGAGACCUCCUAUACGUUUAACGGACCACGACGACUCUAAUUCUUUCUAUAUUUUACCCGAUUUGAUAUUUAAUUGAAAGAAAAGAAAAACAAAAAGAAAAGAGAAGAAAACUGUCGGCAGGUGAUACCUAUCCUUCGUAGAUAUUCAUCAUAUUUUGAUCGUAUGAAAUAAUGAGAAUAACGACAAAUUUUGCGAGAUUGUUUCAUUCAUCAUUUAUACUUCUUUUAUAAUAUAGAAUAUCUUGGAUUAUCGUUAAGGCAGCUAACUCGGACACGAUCAACUCGGUAUCUCGUGACCGGAAUACGAUACCUACGAUAGUGUCGAAGACGUCGACCGUUAUGUUUCUUAGUUGAAGAAAAAGGAAAGAGGAGGAGGAGGUGGAGGAGAAGGAGGAGAAGGCGGAGGAGGAGUGGCAGAGAAAACGACGCGCAAACCGCGCGCUUAUUCAUUAAUGCUACCCAACGGAUCGCAUAUAUCCAAUGAAAAUCGAACGUCAGCGCUAUACAAGAAAUUAAUAUCAUUUGUUUUGUUUAAAUCUUGAACCUUAGUAAACCGUAAAACAACCA